rnacentral:rRNA from 1 species
GGCUUAGAGUUUGAUCCUGGCUCAGAUUGAACGCUGGCGGCAUGCUUUACACAUGCAAGUCGAACGGUAACAGGUCUUCGGAUGCUGACGAGUGGCGAACGGGUGAGUAACACAUCGGAACGUGCCUAGUAGUGGGGGAUAACUACUCGAAAGAGUAGCUAAUACCGCAUGAGAUCUACGGAUGAAAGCAGGGGACCUUCGGGCCUUGUGCUACUAGAGCGGCUGAUGGCAGAUUAGGUAGUUGGUGGGGUAAAAGCUUACCAAGCCUGCGAUCUGUAGCUGGUCUGAGAGGACGACCAGCCACACUGGGACUGAGACACGGCCCAGACUCCUACGGGAGGCAGCAGUGGGGAAUUUUGGACAAUGGGCGAAAGCCUGAUCCAGCAAUGCCGCGUGCAGGAUGAAGGCCCUCGGGUUGUAAAAUGCUUUUGUACGGAACGAAAAGCCUGGGGCUAAUACGCUCCGG